rnacentral:rRNA from 1 species
GAUGAACGCUGGCGGUAUGCUUAACACAUGCAAGUCGAACGGACUCUUCGGAGUUAGUGGCGGACGGGUGAGUAACGCGUGAGAAUCUGGCUUUGGGUUCGGGACAACCACUGGAAACGGUGGCUAAUACCGGAUGUGCCGAGAGGUAAAAGAGAAAUUGCCUGAAGAUGAGCUCGCGUCUGAUUAGCUAGUUGGUGAGGUAAAGGCUCACCAAGGCAGCGAUCAGUAGCUGGUCUGAGAGGAUGACCAGCCACACUGGGACUGAGACACGGCCCAGACUCCCACGGGAGGCAGCAGUGGGGAAUUUUCCGCAAUGGGCGAAAGCCUGACGGAGCAAUACCGCGUGAGGGAAGAAGGCUCUUGGGUUGUAAACCUCUUUUCUUAGGGAAGAACAAAAUGACGGUACCUAAGGAAUCAGCAUCGGCUAACUCCGUG